GAUGAACGCUGGCGGCGUGCCUAAUACAUGCAAGUCGAGCGAACAGACGAGGAGCUUGCUCCUCUGACGUUAGCGGCGGACGGGUGAGUAACACGUGGAUAACCUACCUAUAAGACUGGGAUAACUUCGGGAAACCGGAGCUAAUACCGGAUAAUAUAUUGAACCGCAUGGUUCAAUAGUGAAAGACGGUUUUGCUGUCACUUAUAGAUGGAUCCGCGCCGCAUUAGCUAGUUGGUAAGGUAACGGCUUACCAAGGCAACGAUGCGUAGCCGACCUGAGAGGGUGAUCGGCCACACUGGAACUGAGACACGGUCCAGACUACUACGGGAGGCAGCAGUAGGGAAUCUUCCGCAAUGGGCGAAAGCCUGGCGGAGCAACGCCGCGUGAGUGAUGAAGGUCUUCGGAUCGUAAAACUCUGUUAUUAGGGAAGAACAAAUGUGUAAGUAACUAUGCACGUCUUGACGGUACCUAAUCAGAAAGCCACGGCUAACUACGUG
rnacentral:rRNA from 1 species